CAGCAGAGGCUUAGAGGAAGGCGCUGCAGCGUGGAUGCACAUGGGAUGUUGCAGGUUAAAGUCCUUUUAGUUUGUUGAUAAUUUCUCUGAUGUAGAUUGGAAGUUAUAUAUUAAGAAAUAGAUUUUAAUGUGUAUAUGGUGUGGAUUCCAAAACUAAUCUGCCUGUACUGAAAAGUUCCCUUGUACUAGAAUUUUCCUGAAGCUAAUGGAAUUACCUUGUGCUUGCAUGAUGACUAUUUUUUCAAGAUACAUGUAACAAAGAGGAGGAGCUCAGGGAGCUGAGUGUGAAAGGAUAAAGGAGUCAGGAAGGAGAAAUCAUAUGUUGGCUUAAUUAAUGCUUCCUAAUCAGAACAUGAACCUGAUGAUGACCCAUAGGUGGAUGUCUGUGAGAGGUACAUGUGUUAGCUCAUAAGCGUAUGAGAAUACAAUCAUGAUGUGUAUAAUUAUUCAGUUAUACUUUUUAUCCAUGCCUCAACAAUCGACCAAAUUAAACGACAGGAUGAACAUUCAGACUUUAUUGAUGACAGGGAUUCUAGGAAGACCAUUACAUACUCGACCAGCCCACCUGUCAUCGCAAGACAAGCUAAAAGUAAAGCAACAUAAAAAUUGUUAGCCUUCCCAAAGGCGAAUUUCUGCACAACAUUCUGGGAAUUCACCUAUUUGUAUCCGUACAUUUUCACCUUGACUAUAAGUGGAAAGGUUUGCUAUAUUUAUUUAACUAUCAUUCUGCCGUCGCUGACCAUCAUUAUUCGGCCGUAAUCCCGGCGUCCUCCUAGCAUCACCCUGCUGUGCCCCUGGCCAAUUGCCUAGAGAUGCCAUCCAAGCGCGUGUGGCUGCAAAAGUGCUUCAUAUGAUGAAAGAUGGUAUCAUUGACCCAGUGAAAAUGAUCCAAACUGUACUUCAAGGUGCAGCAAGGUACAACUUCAGUUCUCUAACCAUGUACUUUAUGUAUGACCAUGACAGAAGUAAUCAGAGUUGUUUGACUAUUUGUGCUUCUGUAGUUCUGUACAAUGUUUAUCCGCUGAUCACAACCAUAGAGGUUGCAGAUGAGCAAAAUGGGUUUUGAGGACAGUGCGGCAUUGUGUUUGCACUUGUUUUGAUAGAAUGGAAUGCAUGUCUCAUAUGACCAGUUCUAAGAAAUACAAGCAUAGUUUGAGGUAAACUAGCCAGAAAACUAAGGUUACUUUUAAGUAAGGAUAGGGCCAUGGAUUACAUGAUUGCUUUUCAAAACACAACAUCAGAUGUAGUUGAGCACACCGCUUCGGUUGGUGGAAGUUUGAACUUCGUAUUCAUAUUAAUCCAUGUAUAAGUUUACUGACGGUAAUUGUUUCAUCUGAUGGUACUGCUAUUGUGUCACAAAGAACAAGUACUCUGAUGAUGCCUCACAAAGAAAAAGUUCUUACGACAAUAAACUGAUGUUGACUAUUGUUGGGGGAGGUGAGGAUGCCGAUGAAAAGAGAAGAGUUUGUCUUCUGUCCGAUAGGAUUUGGUUGUAAAUCUUUGUUCAUUACUUCAGGUGUGCAUUGAGCGUACAUGAUCUGCUCAAAAAAACAAAUUGAUUGGCAAGUUUUGAUUAUAUCUAAAGAAGGACAUGGGCAAUGCUCGAUUGGCAAGUUUGGAUUAUAUCUAAAGAUCGACAUGGACAAUGCUCGAUUGACAAAUUUUGAUUUUUUUUUCUUGCUAGAAAUGAUACCAACACAAGUGCUUAGCAUGAUAAAUAUGUUCGCCUAUAUUCUGAGUGGAAGUUAGAUGGAUUUUUUGGGUACAUUAGUCGACCUCUCAGUUGAUAUUUUAUAUUACUAGUUAAUUGUCUGCAACGGGGCCAUAAAUAUUUGUACACGCACAAUUUUUAUUUGAGAGCCG
rnacentral:rRNA from 1 species